UACGUAGGGUGCGAGCGUUAAUCGGAAUUACUGGGCGUAAAGCGUGCGCAGGCGGUUUUGUAAGCCAGAUGUGAAAUCCCCGGGCUUAACCUGGGAAUGGCAUUUGGGACUGCAAGGCUGGAGUACGGCAGAGGAGACUGGAAUUCCUGGUGUAGCAGUGAAAUGCGUAGAGAUCAGGAGGAAUACCGAUGGCGAAGGCAGCUCUCUGGGACGGUACUGACGCUGAGACGCGAAAGCGUGGGGAGCGAACAGG
rnacentral:rRNA from 1 species